UCCCUGGUGGUCCAGUGGUUAGGAUUCUGCGCUUUCACUGCUGAGGGUCUGGGUUCGAUACCUGGCCGGGGAA
rnacentral:tRNA from 1 species